rnacentral:rRNA from 1 species
UACGUAGGGAUCGAGCGUUAUCCGGAUUUAUUGGGUUUAAAGGGAGCGUAGGCGGGCGCUUAAGUCAGCGGUUAAAUUGUGCGGCUCAACCGUGCCGUGCCGUUGAAACUGGGUGUCUUGAGAGUGCAAGAGGCGGAUGGAAUUCAUGGUGUAGCAGUGAAAUGCUUAGAUAUCAUGAAGAACUCCGAUUGCGAAGGCAGUCCGCUGGGGCACGUCUGACGCUGAUGCUCGAAGGUGCGGGAAUCAAACA